rnacentral:rRNA from 1 species
ACUCAAAGGAAUUGACGGGGACCCGCACAAGCGGUGGAACAUGUGGUUUAAUUCGAUGCUACGCGAAAAACCUUACCAGGACUUGACAUAAUAGUCGUAUGGCUAAGAAACUAGCCAGUCAUUUAGUUGGACUAUUACAGGUGUUGCAUGGCUGUCGUCAGCUCGUGUCGUGAGAUGUUGGGUUAAGUCCCGUAACGAGCGCAACCCCCAUUCUUAGUUACCAGCGGGUAAUGCCGGGCACUCUAAGAAAACUGCCGGUGAUAAACCGGAGGAAGGUGGGGAUGAAGUCAAGUCAUCAUGGCCCUUAUGUCCUGGGCUACACACGUGUUACAAUGGUAGUUACAAUGAGAAGCAAUAGGGUGACCUGGAGCAAAUCUAUAAAGACUACCUCAGUUCGGAUUGUAUCCUGCAACUCGGAUACAUGAAGUCGGAAUCGCUAGUAAUCGCAGAUCAGCACGCUGCGGUGAAUACGUUCCCGGGUCUUGUACACACCGCCCGU